rnacentral:tRNA from 1 species
CGCGCUGCUGGUGCUGUGGCGGGCGCGGGCGCGGUGCUGGAGCGAGGCCACGCCGUUCGACGCGGCGCUGUGCGC